rnacentral:rRNA from 1 species
ACGCGUGGGUAACCUGGCCCAUACAGGGGGAUAACACUUAGAAAUAGGUGCUAAUACCGCAUAACAACAGAAAGCGCAUGCUUUUUGUUUGAAAACCAAGGUGGUAUGGGAUGGACCCGCGUCUGAUUAGCUGGUUGGCGGGGUAAAGGCCCACCAAGGCGACGAUCAGUAGCCGGCCUGAGAGGGUGGACGGCCACAUUGGGACUGAGACACGGCCCAAACUCCUACGGGAGGCAGCAGUGGGGAAUAUUGCACAAUGGGGGAAACCCUGAUGCAGCGACGCCGCGUGAGUGAAGAAGUAAUUCGUUAUGUAAAGCUCUAUCAGCAGGGAAGAAAAUGACGGUACCUGAGUAAGAAGCCCCGGCUAACUACGUGCCAGCAGCCGCGGUAAUACGUAGGGGGCAAGCGUUAUCCGGAUUUACUGGGUGUAAAGGGAGCGUAGACGGCAGUGCAAGUCUGGAGUGAAAGGCGGGGGCUCAACCCCCGGACUGCUCUGGAAACUGUACGGCUGGAGUGCAGGAGAGGUAAGUGGAAUUCCUAGUGUAGCGGUGAAAUGCGUAGAUAUUAGGAGGAACACCAGUGGCGAAGGCGGCUUACUGGACUGUAACUGACGUUGAGGCUCGAAAGCGUGGGGAGCAAACAGGAUUAGAUACCCUGGUAGUCCACGCCGUAAACGAUGAUUACUAGGUGU